CAAUUUGGGGACAGAGGUUAGCCGAUGCCCUCUGAAGGCAGAGGUCACAGGUUCGAAUCCUGUCGGGUGCGCCA
rnacentral:tRNA from 1 species